GCCUCUGUAUAUGCAACUUAUUAUCUAUCAUUCAGCUCUGAAUAAAAUUUACAUCAGUGUUUCAUUUGUAGUAGUAAAUACAAUCUAUUUAACAUAAUAAAUUGAAAUAUUCCGUAGCACUUGUAUAGUUUUGCAGCCUUCAUAAGUCAAAACUAGUUCUAAAAGUUCUCCAAGCAGUUAAAAUGAACUGUCUAUAGCUACUUUACAAAAAACAUUUUCCACGGCGGAAAUUCAAUACUUGAUAUUGGUACUGUUCAUCGCAGAAUUUGAAGAAUUUUUGAAAGGACAUCUAAAGAUGAGGUUAUGAAAAAAAUAAAUUAUAUUAUUGAGAGAAAUAGUGAUCUCGUCUAGCUUGCUGAGAGACGCAAAGAUUUGAAACAGAUUCUGAAGACGUUGAUCACCUCAAAUUCAGCAUCUAAUACAAUAAAAGUAUACUCUCUCCGUCUCAUAUUACUUGACAUGUUUGCUCAAAAUAGUUGGCAUGUUUAAAUAACUAAGAGAUAAUUGAACACCUAUUUUCAAUUUCAAGAGGUCGGGGGUUCGAUCCCCUCCUCUGGCGAAUGGAGCAAACUCUGUGGCCAGUUCCCUACCGCUUAGUGCGCUGACAGAGGAACGGAGGAUUAAUCGCACGGAUGCCGGCUGUGGGGAUACCUUGGGAAACCAAAAACAAAUAAUAAAAGAGUAAUUUUACUCAUUUUAUUCACUUUUGCUUGUUCAGUUUAAAAAAUCAAUAUUUCAUUUUUUAUUUACCUUAUAUAAUCAUUCCCAAUACGUUAAAUUUAUUAUGAUUUUUGAGAUAACUAAAUGUAAAUAUCACCAAAGAUUACUUCCAAAGUUCCAUUUUGUAUAACAUAAGCGUCAUAUCUUUCACAUUGGUUCUUUUAAUAUUUUGUUAUUUGUGAAAUUAAGUCUGCAUGAGAUAGGGAAAAAAAUGUGCUUUGCUGAGUUGACAAAUCUUUGUUAGAGAGUUUUUG
rnacentral:lncRNA from 1 species